CUCCCUUAUCCUUUGCUGAGUGUUCUGUCUCCCUCCCUGUAGAAUGCUUAUUAUGCUGGUCUCAAGUCAGGGAUUCAAAGUUGGCAAUUACCAGAAGUGUAGUCUUGAUGUCGUGGCAUGAAGAUCCUCUGGUUUUCCAAAAUGAAUGGCUUGAUUGAGUGAGAAUAGUUCUACAGCAGUUUUCUUGCCAAGGGCAUGAUAAGAAGCUUGAUACCACUGUGUCUACGCAACAAGGUCAAUGUCAUUAGACCACUAACCUUGUAAAGUGGCCAGGUGGAAGCCAAUCCUCAAUAAAAAGCACAUGACAACUGCCACCUCGAGGACUCUCAGACCAAGAGAAACUAAAUUCUGAUGAAACAAAUAAGGCUUUGGCCUGAAUUCCAAACGUUGUGUCUGGAGCAAACCAGGCAGUGUUCAUCACCUGGCCAACACAGUCUCUACAGUGAAACAUGGUGGUGGCAGCAUCAUGCUGUGGGGAUAGUUUUCAGCAUCAAGAUCUGGGAGACCAGUCAAGGUCAACGGAAGAUGAAUGCAGCAAUGUGGAGAGACAUUCUUGAUGAUAACCUGCUUCAGAGCUUCUGUAACAAAGAUAACAAAGGUCUCUCUUUAGGACCGCUCCGUGAAUGUCCUUGAACAUCUCUUGGAGUGCUGAAAAUGGCUGUGCACUCAUGCUCCCCAUCCAAUCUUAUGCAGCUUGAGAGUUU